rnacentral:rRNA from 1 species
UACGUAGGGUGCAAGCGUUAAUCGGAAUUACUGGGCGUAAAGCGUGCGCAGGCGGCUUUGCAAGACAGCUGUGAAAUCCCCGGGCUUAACCUGGGAAUGGCAUUGGUGACUGCACGGCUAGAGUGUGUCAGAGGGGGGUAGAAUUCCACGUGUAGCAGUGAAAUGCGUAGAGAUGUGGAGGAAUACCGAUGGCGAAGGCAGCCCCCUGGGAUAACACUGACGCUCAUGCACGAAAGCGUGGGGAGCAAACAGG